GGAAGCCGUGGAUCGAUAGCUUUGCCUGCUAUCUCUCUACCCAUGUCUGUUAUAGAGUACCUUACGUUUCCUCGGCGGGUCCGCCCGCCGAUUGGACAAUUUAAACCAUUUGCAGUUGCAAUCAGCGUCUGAAAAAACUUAAUAGUUACAACUUUCAACAACGGAUCUCUUGGUUCUGGCAUCGAUGAAGAACGCAGCGAAAUGCGAUAAGUAGUGUGAAUUGCAGAAUUCAGUGAAUCAUCGAAUCUUUGAACGCACAUUGCGCCCCUUGGUAUUCCAUGGGGCAUGCCUGUUCGAGCGUCAUUUGUACCUUCAAGCUCUGCUUGGUGUUGGGUGUUUGUCUCGCCUCUGCGUGUAGACUCGCCUCAAAACAAUUGGCAGCCGGCGUAUUGAUUUCGGAGCGCAGUACAUCUCGCGCUUUGCACUCAUAACGACGACGUCCAAAAGUACAUUUUUACACUCUUGACCUCGGAUCAGGUAGGGAUACCCGCUGAACUUAAG
rnacentral:rRNA from 1 species